UGAAGCAUAUUCUGUGCACAGUAUGUCCUACAGCCAUAAAAAUGGUUGCUCCACUAACUAUGAUAUUCAUGGACCCUUGAAGAGGGGGAAGCAGGUGGUCACAAUGUCCUCAUAUGAGUGAAAAGUAAUCCUAGAAAGGGGGAGCAUUCCAUAUAGAAACUGCUGAAACUGCCACAGGUGCUUCUCCGAAAACCUUACAGUUGUGGCAUUGAAUGUUCAGUAUCGCUUCCUUUCUGCACACAAGGCAUACUGUUGAGGUAUUUGUUGCGGUGAUUGGUUUUAAUGCUAAUCUAGGAAUUCAGAUAUAGAAUCUAUAGAUUUGCAUGCUUUGCUUACCCUAAUUUACAAUUAUCUACAUUUUUAUUUGUAAACUAACAAUAGAUAAGUUGAGAUCAGUAAUUUUUAACAGAUAUUACAUUGAUAUACGAAAACUGUGGUUUAUUUUCUUAGAUUGUCGCAUGGCAUUAACAAAAACACAGUGAGCUGUAGGCACUGUAAUCACUAUUUCAAAUUAAACAUUUAGGAGAUUUUUUUUUACGUAUAUGAAUGUUUUUUCAAAAAGAUUUAUUGUUGACUUUUUGUAGCAAAUGUUUGUUUUGUUUUUCAAGGUAUGUGACAUUAUAAGUGGAAGAUACUGUAUUUCAAAUGUUAAAAACACAGCUUUUUUUCCACCAAUGAGUAUGAAAAAGGAACAACUGAAGCAACUUAGAAGCAAUUUUUUUAAAAAUAAAAAGCACAAGUCUUUGUUUUCUUUGUACAGAUCUUUUGAAGAGUAAAUUUUGUAAGUUAUCCUGAAGCAAAUCUUUCUUGCAUAUAGAUAUUUAAACAAUUCUAAGUUUUUAGUUGUUGGGGUUUUUUUUAAUUAUUCCUGACUUAACCAUAGUGGAAGUGUCUUGAUUAUGUUUUGAGAACUUGCAUCAGAUUUUUUCCUUCCUUUAGUGAACUUCUGAAAACAACAAAUUGUGGUUAGAUUGAAAUAAUAGAAACAUCCUGCUAAAUAAAUCUAAAAUGGAAGUAAAUUUCAUGUUUCUGUUCACCAGUCCUGUUUGGUCAGAUAAUACAUUUGUCUCUUUUGGUUUUGAGCAACAGUUGAGUUGCACUGCCACCCAACAUUUUUGAAAAUGCUUUUCAGAAGAAGGAAAUACCUAAACAUAUGCUUCAUCAGUGUCCUCUUUGUAGCUGCUUUAAUUUGAUUACCACGACUCUCAGAUGAACUCAGCCUUUAGAAUGGGAGUUCAGAUGAUGUCAACCAGAGGAAGAAAAAUGGGUAUUAAAAAAAAAAAAGUCUUCUUCAUAACAAGAUUAGUCCGUUUUGAAGACUUCCUGUGGACAUCACUUGAUGGAAGAAGAAAAAUUUGUUAUAAGAGUGUUGUUUUAAGCACUGUUAGGUGUGUGAAUAAAUGUAUAUGCAAAAGUCAGAGCUUUAAUUCAAUAUAUCAGUGCACGUGUUGAGUUUAUUUAUAAAACACCUGUCACUACACAACAAUUCAAGUCUCAUCUGUCAAGGAACUUCAAGAUCACCUACUCAUCCAUAUUCAGACUUCUGUCAACUUUUCUCAUGGAUUUUUUUCCAUUUAGAAUAACUUUAUAAUACGAAAAUGUAUCCUUCCAGUUACAUUUGUCUUUCUUCUUUUGCUUUGGAGUUAGCAUCUUAUACUUCUGUACUUUGAAGAAAACAAAAUGUCUUUAUUUCCAGCUCCUGGAUUUUAGCCUACAAGAAGGCUGAGGGUAAAUAAUAUCAUGCUUCAUGAUUCUAAUUUGUUUCUAUUAAUAAGAAUUACAUGGAAACAGUGAGUAAACUGUAAAGCAAAAAAGUGCUGCCAUGUGAAAGAACCUUAACAGGACUCAGUCAUUUUUCAAGUACUUGAAUUGCUUUGGAAAGGAUGCAAGGUAUGUGUUUUCUAAACAUGGAGUGGAUUGACUUUCUGACAACUUACCAAAACUGUGUUUAGCCCUGGGCAAUGUUAAGUAAGGAAUUUUUCUCCUGUUUGUCAGUUCAAGCCUUCACGUGUGUUCCUGUCUGGAGUAGGUGCCAAAAAGGGAAUGAUAUUUUCAGAGCUUUACUCUUCUUUCUUCAGUUUUUCCACUUAUUCCUGAACUGGACUGACCUUCAGUCAGAAGGUUUUUGACCUUUUUUCUUUUUUUACUAAAGGGAAAGGGAAUUAAGUUUUUGGAGCGCAGCUGUCCAAUUUGACAGUAACUAGGCCAGCCUAGUCAAUGAAUAUACUGCACCAAGUCAAUGAAUGCUGUUUAAUAAAGGCUGACUAAUCGUAAAACACGUGUAACUUUUCAAGGCUUAUUCUGAUUUUAUUAUUUACGACUUUAUUGCAUCCUUCUGUACCCUCCAUGCUGGUAGGUUCUUCCUUCAUAAGAUCAUCUUUGAAAAACGCAGUGUGUGUAGCUUGCUAUUUGUCUUGUUACAGCUAGAUAGCCCCUACCUUAGAGAAAAACCUCCAAAAGCAACAUAAGCUUGUCCUCAAGUUUGGCAUAUUUUUCAGGGGGAAAAAAGGUUAAAAAAGCCAACAACAAACCCUACAUAACAAAAAACCUGCAAGAAAUUUCUGCGCUCAUUUUUGAAUUCUGAAUAACGGAGUUACAGAAAUAGAGCUGUUGUAUCUGCUGUAUGAUUAGCAGUAACAAAAGGACAGCUUACCUGAAGGUUUAUGUCAAAUGUGUGUUCCAAGCUUCUUUGGAGUUUCCACUAUUUCAAGGUGUUUAGGGUAAAAGAUGAAUGCUAGUACUGAAGGGACUCUUAACUUAUUAAAAAAAUGGAGGAUGGGUGGAAAAGAAUUUUUUUCAAGAAACAACAGUUGAGAUAGUUCUGUCCAUGUUGUCCAGUGGUUUACAUUUUUUCCCUGCUGUUUUUCUUUCACAGCCCAGGUCUUGAAGUUACUUUCAGUUAUAAUAUCCUUUACCUAUUCUUUUUCUUUAUGUCAGCAUCUAUAAGAAAUGAAGUACCUUUCAAGCAAGGGACACCUAAUAACUGAAGUAGUUGAAAAUUUACUUGAAUAUAGUGAUUAUCUCUUUGAGUUUUCUGCUUGUUGAUUUUUAAUUUAUUUAUUUUUUAACCACACAGACUGUGUCACGUACAGUCUACUUUAGUAGCCAAAUAAAUCUUCAGUUACUAUUUCUCCUUUUCACUUGACAGUCAGUUUACAUAUAAUUGUGGUUCGUAACCAAGGGCUGACAUAGGAAUUGCACAUAAGAGUUUGAACUCCUCUUAGCUGUUUCUAUUUUUGUCCUUAUAAUCUAUACUGUACUGUGUACAGUAAGGACAUUUACAUUCUUAGCUCUUGGGCUAAGUUCAGGUAGCUGCUUCCUUUUCAGCCGUUGGCAACAUUUGAGACAGACCAUGCACUGCUGGAACAGGGUGGUGCUCCAAGUCCAGGUUGGUGCUUUUAAAGAAUGGCCUAAUAGAUGUCUGAGCUUUUUAGUUCAUUCAGGUACUCCACAGUUUCUGGGAGGAUUGUAUUACACUAUAUUUUUCUGUAUCACACUCAGAAUCUUUAGAGUGAUGACAAUAUUUCUAAAUUAUUUUGGAAAUGCAUAAAGCUAUUCUAAUCUGGUAAAAUCCUGUGAUAUCUUUUAAGAGUGUUUUCUCUCCUAUUUUGUUCCUAGUUGAGUUAGGUUUUUCUCUUGGAUUACUUGCAUUUUGUUAUGAUAUAUAUAACAUAUAUAAUAUAGCAUAGCUAGCCCUUGCUGCCUUUUGUGUUCCCACUGACAGAUUUUUCCUCCUAGAGAAGACUAAAAAAGUCAGCUAAGGAAAUAGGUCUUUUUUAUCUUUCUAGCCUGGUUUUGAGGAAGUGACAGAAAGUUUCUUCAGAAUUUGUCAGCUUUUCAUCUUCUCCUUCACAUUAUUAUUGAAAUGCAAGCCAGUUUAGCUGAAAUUUGAAAGUAAUCAAGCUUUGAUUAAAAUAAUUAACAGCGACAAGUGGAUAUAUAGAGAAGAUACUCAAAUUAGUGUUCUAACUGUGAGGGAGCAAAGGGAAUUUGACAGUUGUGUUCUCUUUCUUAGCAUUUGACCUAAAGGUUUCUGGAGUCAUCCAGAAUCCGUAAUCUCCUUUUAUUUGAUUGAACUUUUUUCUGUUUUUCCACUACUAACUUCUGAACACAGAACUUUCUCUUGAAAUUGAUAAGCUAAAUUCAGGCUAGCACUUAUAAGAAAGGUUUCUAAACUCUUAGAAGCAAGAAUGUUAUAUCCAGUGGGCUUGAAUCCACUAAAAACCUAUGCAGUGCUUUCAAACUACUUCUGUAGAACAAGUACAUCUUUGUCUCCUUGUUAAGAGUCAUCUCUUCAAGAUGGGACAGAUCUUAAAAUAUCAAAGGUCAUUACAUUUUAAAAUAUGACAAAAUCUUUUAAGUUCAUUUAUUUUGUGUCUGGGAAACGUAAUUACUCUUUCCUAGAGUUUGGUCAUGUAGCCUUACAUACUUGGAUCUUUGUACAUCUCUAAAUGCCUCUGGCAUCUCAUAUUGAUGUUCCUUUGAGGAAUAGUUACUGAACCGUAGUCUGCCUUACAGUCAACUUUUCAAAGCAGAGUUAUUUUUCAAUAAUAUUUGCUAAGUAAUAGAAUUACUGACUCCUUGAAGUUUUAUUAAAUUAGGUGGUCAUUCAAUACCAUAUUGUUUGUGUCAUUUUUAUUUUCGUGUAUCUUUAAUUUGCUCUUGCUUAGAUCUCCUUUAUUAUUCUUUGGAGGCUUGCAAAUUUAAAACAGAUUUCAGAGAACUGAGCUAUUUUUUUUUUGACCAAAACAGAUCUGUUGAAAUUUCUGUUUCUCCAGCUGUAGUUUCAUUGCAUUACAUCUGUAUGCUGCACAAGUAAAUCAGAAUUACUAAAAGCAUUGAAUGUUAGCUGAGACCUCAACAAACCACCUGAUUCAGCAUCAGAAAGGAUUGACUGUAUUUUGCAGAAUUUCUGAAAUCAUAGGCUGCUCUUAAAAUGAGGAGAGAAAGAGACCCCUCUCAAGAUCCAGCAACAUUUAUACUCUAGAACUUUCUCCUGAUGCCUCUCUUUAAUUAUCCUUUGUUUGUGUUAAUCCCAUUCUUAUACGGCCUGCACUGGAUGGACAGAAGAUCCUCUUUUGCAGCUGUCUUCUGGGUAUUCAAAAGUAAUACCUCCACCUUGAAGUUUCAUUUCUUUUGCAUAACUAGAUUUUUCAGUCUUCCAGAGUCUUACUUUUUAGACCACUCUUGACAGCUGUUCUCUGGAUUCUCAUUAGUAGUCCAAGUUAGUGGUGACUUAGAAUAGUGUAGUAUGGAAUGAAAUUAACCCUGGUCUAGCCUAAUAGGUUUUGUGAUUUUGUAGUAUUUUGAUUUAUCCAUUUAUGGAAAUAGUCUUGCUACAGCAGGCAACUUCUAAAGUCUCGUUUUUAUAGCAAAUAAGUUACAAUUAUCUAGGAAGCAAAUCUGGGUUUUGUUCUUUGAUUUCUUCGUAUGAGCUGGAUUGAGUUCUUUUCUAUUUCAUAUGAGUUUCAAGAGGAUCGGGUCUGUUAAUCUCCUGAAUUCUUAUUCUGUUGGCUGGUCUGUUUCUGGAUUUUUAAGUAAUGGACUUGUCUAAACUAUUGAAGCCAAGAAACAACAAUUCAGUUUUUCUGACUAGUUACAUCUGUCUAGAAAGGCAGAAAAAUAUUAUGAAAGAUUGAUUAGCAUCUGUUGCUUCGCCAUCUAGUUUUGUCAUUUCUGGCCCUCUUAUCUCCACUUUUAUGUUCUUCCUUAUGAAGUUAGCCUAAAUUUAUAAGCACAAAAUGUACUGUAUGUUUGUGUAAAUGUAUGUGACAUAGAGCACUUCUUCAAAUUAAACUUCUACCUCUCUACAUGUCCUCCAUGAUUUCAUUUAUAAUCUCCUUGUGUUAGAAUAUUCAAAAUCAAUGCCAUUCUCUCAUGCACAGAAAAGUCUUGAUUCAAAUUAACAAAGCAAGUCCCAGUACUUAUGAUGUCACACACUUUGAAAUGAGAAACAAACCAGAAACAAAAGUAUAAGCAAAGCAUAACUAAGUAUAGCAUCUUUAUCUAUCUAUCUCUUUCUAUAUAUGUAUAUAUUUUGUUGUUAGGAAGAAUAGUGAUGUUGUUGUUACCUUAGAAACCAGAAUGCCAUGGACAAUUGCCAAGUCAUUUUAAGUUUGUUUGAGUAUUUGAUCUUUUACUCACGUUAAAGCAAUAGAUUGCAGAAUAAAAUGCAGAAGAUGGUAAAAUUCAACACUUAAUUAGUCUGAAGUUUAUGUAAAGAUCAGAUACUUCAGACUAUUUUAGAAUAAAGCAUUUUGAGAAGUUUAAAUAGGAAGAUGGUUUAAGGCACAUAGUAUAUUGAUUUUAUUUAACAGUGUAUUGUCUCCCAAAUUUUGCUUAGAAGCCAGAUAUAUGUGCAAAAAGUAAAGUUAGUUAUAAAACUAAGAUUAAUAACUAAUUUCUUAAUGGAAAUUUGCUAAGUGUAUGUUUUCUCUCAUCACCUGCAGAUAGAUAGUAAGGGCAGCAGCAGCAGCAAGCUAGCGUGAUGAAUGAGUGUAAUUCAGUUUCUUUGUAUUGUACAGCUUGAGAAAUGCCAGUGGCCUGACAGCAGCAGACCUUGCACAUACCCAGGGCUUCCAAGAAUGUGCCCAGUUUCUCUUGAACCUCCAGAACAGUCACCUGAAUCGUUUCUAUAGCAAUGGCACCUUAAAUGGGGUUCAUCAGAAUGCAGGUCCCAAUCCAUUCAGUGGUGGGACUAGUCGAAAGAGGUCCUUUGAAGAUACGGAGUCUGCUGGAGCAAAGAAGGCUAGAACAGAAGCUUACAGCUUUGAUGGCUUAAUACCAGUGAUGAAUGGAGGAGCUGAGGACGAUGCUGACAAUAUGCACGUUGAUAGAGAGUUUGCUGUUGUAUCAGAUAUGAAUAGCAGUAGCUCCAUAUUGAAUGCACUGACAAAUGGAUGUGCCAUCAAUGGACAUUUGGAUUUCACCACCGCACAACAGCUCAGUGGGAUGGAUGCCAGGCGUGAGGAGUGCUUAGCAUUAACACCUAACGGAGUAAUUCCUGGAAUAACUUCCCCCAGUAGGCACCGAGUUCAUACCAGUAAUGGCACUGAGGAACCAGAAAAAACCAUGAGUAAUUCCACCGAUAUGUGUGGAUCUCUCCAUCUGAAUG